GAUGAACGCUAGCUACAGGCUUAACACAUGCAAGUCGAGGGGAAACGAUAUUGGAAGCUUGCUUCCGAUAGGCGUCGACCGGCGCACGGGUGAGUAACGCGUAUCCAACCUGCCCAUCACUUGGGGAUAACCUUGCGAAAGUAAGACUAAUACCCAAUGACGUCUCUAGAAGACAUCUGAAGGAGAUUAAAGAUUUAUCGGUGAUGGAUGGGGAUGCGUCUGAUUAGCUUGUUGGCGGGGUAACGGCCCACCAAGGCGACGAUCAGUAGGGGUUCUGAGAGGAAGGUCCCCACAUUGGAACUGAGACACGGUCCAAACUCCUACGGGAGGCAGCAGUGAGGAAUAUUGGUCAAUGGACGAGAGUCUGAACCAGCCAAGUAGCGUGCAGGAUGACGGCCCUAUGGGUUGUAAACUGCUUUUAUAAGGGAAUAAAGUGGGAGUCGUGACUCUUUUUGCAUGUACCUUAUGAAUAAGGACCGGCUAAUUCCGUGCCAGCAGCCG
rnacentral:rRNA from 1 species